ACAGUCUAACUCAUUAGAAGAAAUAUAGUACCUAUUAAUUAAUUGAAGUAUAAUCCAAUACAAUAUGAACAUUCACAAUUAGCAUCAUCCCAAUUCGAUUUUAUCCCAAUGUUUCUAUAAUUAAUUAAUUAUCUUUUCAACAUUGAAAGAUGUCUCAAGUUUGAAAUCACUUUCCAUUUGAAUUAGAAAAAAGCUCUUUUACAUUCUCCAACAUGAUUAAAAAAUAUUUAUUUAUUUUUCAACCAAAAAAGGAAAGGAAAAAAAAAAGAAAAAAAAGGGGGAAAAUAACAGGCUAAGGCCAAGAAUAAGGCCCAUAAACAAAACUAACACAAACAAAGCCCAUAAAAUUUGCCACAAACUGACUAUAAAUCGCACACAUAAGAGAUUUAGGGUUUACUUCACAGUAGACGAUAACGAAUGCAAGAGAAACUUCGACCUUUUUCAUUUGCCAUCAUCUCUUCCUCUAGUCGUCAGCUCAACUUCGCAACCAUGAUCAUCCUAGAGAAGAACAUGAGAGAAAUCUCCAACACAUGUUCCAAGAGGGAGUGUGCCAUGCGAAGGACUAUAACUUGGCAAAGCACCUAGAAAUCGAUGUGCCAAAUCUGCAAUGGUAAAUUAUUGCAUGUUCGUUGUUGUGCUUAUAUUUUAAGUUUAAUUGUGCAAGAUGGUUUGAAAACAAUAAAUCAAUCUGUAGCCAACAUUAGAAGUUUAGUAACCAUCUUUCAUACAU